AGCUGAUCCAGAUCUCCUGCGGUAAAUCCACUUCCUGUUGGUAAGAUCUCUCUGGACUGUCCCUCUUAUUCUACGGCGUGUUCUUGGAUUUGAUGACCACCCUGUUUGUCUUUCUAACAUCUGCAGGUGUCUCAGGUCUCGUCUCUCUAAUCCAGUAAAUACAGGUGUGUGUGUGUCCAUGUACAGAUGGGGUAUUUGACGCCUCCUCCACAGGGUAAUGGUCCGCUCCUGGAUCCUUUUAUUUCUUUCCUCUAAAAUAAAGAUUUUCUGUUGGAGCCUCAGCCUGUAAUCCAUGCCUGCUGACCGCUAAAUCAUUACGUUUAAGGAUCCAUGGGGGGGUCAGAGCCAUUGACUCCGUCCUGGAGUACCGACUAUUAUCCCAUCAAGCAGGAAUACAGGGCCUGUAAUAAGCUCUGUCUCUCUCUUCUAUGAGGCCCUCUCUUGUUAUUCUCUCCAUCUCAUCCUCUCCGCUCCCCGAGGUUUCCACGAUCGAUAAUCCUCUCUGUCUUUGUCGUUGUUUGAUUCGUCUCUGUUGUCCCCGUUAAAUAUCAUCUUUCUGACAACAGUCAAUAACCGCAUCCAGCAGCUUCAGUGACCGUGGCGCUCUGGUCUCAAACUGAGCCCUCUGGUCCCGGGUCUUUGACUUUUGAUUGAGCUCUGAGGGACCGACCCCUAAGUCCGACCAGCAUGGGGUUUAAAACGUGGGUUUGAUUAUAAGUGGGUGAGAUUUCUCUGCUCUUAUCUAAAUGUCUCCAGGUUCUACACGGAUUCAUGCCGAUCACUUUGACUCUUGUCUCUUAUUUACGAUGGUAGGACUGAUUGUCUCGUUUUGUAUUUCUGUGCUUUUUCUCCAGAAUAAAAUCCUAAAGUCUGGCCUACAUCGAGGUUUAUAACCGACACAUGAACUAAAUGAUCAUAGAAACGAAAUGAAAUGAUCAUAAUUGUUCUUCCUUGAGCUGCGGCACCCCGCUGUAGUCCGUAAUGGACUGGCCUGAGGUCUCACUACAAACAAGCGUCUGCUGGAAGAGAGUAGGUGAGUUGUGUUUAGUCUCUUUGCUAAAGAAAUGAGUCAAAGUUAAAAAGAUGUUUGGUGUCUAGUACUAUGUCUGUGACCCUAUAUGUACUAACCUCAGUAGAUCAUGCUGUAGUUCCAUUUAGUAACAGAACCUCAUUGGAAAAUUAGCUGAUUUAACUUUACUGUGCUCUUGUUCACAUAUAUUAACUCGACAGCACAUAAAUUCAUACCUGUUAACAAAAUCAUGAUUUUAUUGAUAAUUCAGCUCAAUAAAAACACCUUUACCUUUUUAUUUUACUACAGUAGAAGUUUAUUGGCCCACAUUAUAGACUACAGAGGUGGAGAAAUGAGUGGGGUCAAACUUGGCGUUACGGUGUGUUUGAUCCUAAUUUAAUUUUACGCCGGAAUAUCCCUUUAAAUCAGAGGAGUGUAAGAUAAAGUCUGUUUUCAGAUCCCAAAGUCCACAGACUAUGAAGACCUGAUCAAAAUACUCUCAAAGGGGGUAGACUAAACUCAGAU